CCUACGGGUGGCAGCAGUGAGGAAUAUUGGUCAAUGGGCGCGAGCCUGAACCAGCCAAGUCGCGUGAGGGAAGACGGUCCUAUGGAUUGUAAACCUCUUUUGUCGGGGAGCAAAAGACGCCACGCGUGGCGUUCCGAGAGUACCCUAAGAAAAAGCAUCGGCUAACUCCGUGCCAGCAGCCGCGGUAAUACGGAGGAUGCGAGCGUUAUCCGGAUUUAUUGGGUUUAAAGGGUGCGCAGGCGGAAGAUCAAGUCAGCGGUAAAAUUGAGAGGCUCAACCUCUUCGAGCCGUUGAAACUGGUGUUCUUGAGUGAGUGAGAGGUAUGCGGAAUGCGUGGUGUAGCGGUGAAAUGCAUAGAUAUCACGCGGAACUCCGAUUGCGAAGGCAGCAUACCGGCGCGCAACUGACGCUCAUGCACGAAAGUGUGGGUAUCGAACAGGAUUAGAUACCCUGGUAGUC
rnacentral:rRNA from 1 species